rnacentral:rRNA from 1 species
AUCUUUUAAUCGAGAUUUUGCCUUCGGGUACAAUUGAGACAGGUGGUGCAUGGUUGUCGUCAGCUCGUGUCGUGAGAUGUUGGGUUAAGUCCCGCAACGAGCGCAACCCUUGUGUUUAGUUGCAAACAGGUAAUGCUGUGCACUCUAGACAGGACUGCCGUGGACAACACGGAGGAAGGUGGGAUGACGUCAAGUCCUCAUGGCCUUUAUGUCCAGGGCUACACACGUGCUACAAUGGGUGGUACAAAGAGCCGCGAACUCGCGAGAGCAAGCAAAUCUCAAAAAACCAUCCUCAGUUCGGAUUGGAGUCUGCAACUCGACUCCAUGAAGCUGGAAUCGCUAGUAAUCGCGGAUCAGCAUGCCGCGGUGAAUACGUUCCCGGGCCUU